rnacentral:lncRNA from 1 species
UACACGUUUAUUUUUAGAAUAUGUACAUGUUGAUCAUUACUGAAUACAUUUUAGUGAUUGUUUUGCUUUUAUCUCGGAAAAUGAUGUUACGUGCAACAGACAAGAAGGUCCUCAGAAAAAAUAUCUAAGUUGAUUUACACACUGCAGAAUGAAUGGUGCUCACAGAGAAAACCUAUUGAUGUGUAAACUUUUUGAUGGUAUACACCUCAUGGACUUGAUGGCAAAUGGUGGAAAACAGUGGCAUUCUUCAUGUUUGUAAGUGGAGAAUGGUGGAGAAAUAUCCAUGGCAAACAGUGGCAUUUAGAGAAAAACAGUGGCAUAUUUUACACUGAUUGCCACAACAGUUAUGGUGGCAAAUAGUGGAAAAUUUUAGUGGCAAAUGGUGAAAUACGUUCCAAUACUCCACUGAUAGUGGCAUUCAAUGGAAAAUGAUGGCAGUUUUUACAUUAAUAUGUGACAGUGGCAAACAGUGAAAAACUUUAAUGGCAAAUAGUGAAAAAUGUUCCAAUACUCCACUGAUACUGGCAUUUGAUGGAAAAUGGUGGAAAAUUUUGACUGGCCUUUCCAUCCUCUGUUUUUUCAAUGUUUUCCAUCAGUUUCCACUCAAAGAGGCUUGUUCCAAUACUCCACU